rnacentral:rRNA from 1 species
UACGAAGGGGGCUAGCGUUGCUCGGAAUGACUGGGCGUAAAGGGCGCGUAGGCGGAUGGCACAGUCAGAUGUGAAAUUCCCGGGCUUAACCUGGGGGCUGCAUUUGAUACGUGUGAUCUAGAGUGAGGAAGAGGGUCGUGGAAUUCCCAGUGUAGAGGUGAAAUUCGUAGAUAUUGGGAAGAACACCGGUGGCGAAGGCGGCCAUCUGGCUCGGUACUGACGCUCAGGCGCGAAAGCGUGGGGAGCAAACAGG